UACGAAGGGUGCAAGCGUUACUCGGAAUUACUGGGCGUAAAGCGUGCGUAGGUGGUGAGUUAAGUCUGAUGUGAAAUCCCCGGGCUCAACCCGGGAACUGCGUCCGAUACUGGCAGGCUUGAAUCCGGGAGAGGGAUGUGGAAUUCCAGGUGUAGCGGUGAAAUGCGUAGAUAUCUGGAGGAACACCGGUGGCGAAGGCGGCAUCCUGGACCGGCAUUGACGCUGAGGCGCGAAAGCCAGGGGAGCAAACGGG
rnacentral:rRNA from 1 species